rnacentral:lncRNA from 1 species
AGGUUGUAAUGUGCGUGACUGCAUCAGGCAUCGCCCUGGCCAACCCGAAAUCCGUGAUUCUAGCCUCCAUAUCGUCGUCAAGAAGAACAUUAGCCGGCUUCAAGUCUCUGUGGAUGAUUCUAGGUUUACUUUCCAUGUGAAGAUACUCAAGCCCCGCAGCUAUACCUAAAGCAAGCUUGUGCCUUGCUGGCCACGUUAGCUCUUUGUUUCCACCUGAAACCUCGGUUAGUAUAUCUUGCAAACUCCCGUUCUUCAUGUACUCGUAGACAAGGAAGUGACACUCGAGUCUCGGGACGUGUGCUAGCAACGGGAGAAGAUUCCGGUGCCGGAUAUGACCUACUGUGAUGAUCUCUGACCUGAUUUGCAUCAUGUACCUGUUCAGAAACCUGGACUCUUCGUCUAUAAGCUCGGUUGCGCUUUUACAGGGUUGUGUCACUCUCUUGACGGCUAUGAUCUUCCCGUUGCUUCCUGGUAGUUUGGCUUUGAAAACUUCUCCGCAGCCUCCUUUGCCGAUGAGCUUAAGAGAGGCUAAUGAUUCUUCGUUCUCCAAGAAAGCUAAGUCUUCGGCUCUCUUGAUCAAAAGGCUGAAUAUAGUAGGACUUAAUGGUUUUUCUGGUCCUCUUCUUGCUUUGAGGAUCAAUCUGAAGAUCACUCCGGAGAUGAUUCCGCCUAUGCCUACGACGACUAUUACCACUUGGAGGAUAGUACCUCACUUCAUAACCUUCACUUCUUCACAGCAUAGUAGAGAUAUCUUGUAUGAUGGGUUGUAGCAGUGGACAGAACUACUUACCUAUGGGUGGAAAUAAGAGAAGAGUAAACUAGGUUAAAAUCGUCAUACAAAUAUUAAUGUCAACUCGGAUGUAAAGACCUAAUUAGAGACUAGUUUAUGGUAUAGAAGCCAAUUAUCUCAAAACUUAAUUAAUUGACAUUGUUUGUCCAUCUCACUACAAGUUUAUGCAUCUCAACACGUGUUGACUCAGUUUUUCUUAUUUUCUGGUGUGAAGACAUGAAGGCAGUCAUGAACAGCUAAAAAAUCUGAGGGAGAUUCUCAAACGGCUGCUUAUAGAGAAGACAAAACGUUUCUUUGUCUAGAUAGCUAAGCUUAUUGUAUCAGAUUAAUGGUUUAUGUUUAAUAAAACAAGAUUAAAAUCCAUUUUAAUUAUACAUCUUCAUCACAAGCUUCUGCCAAGCGAACACUAUAGCAUUUACGUGUAAUUAUUUCAUACGACAGGGAAUGUAAACUACAUAUCAUAGAGAGACACUAGCUAGUGCUUGAUCUGGGACAGCAUAGUCUUGACAUCUCUGCUGUUCGGUCUCUGUUUAGGAUCAUCCAAAGUACAGUAACAAGCAAUCUUCAGAACAAGAAGCAUCUGUUCAUCGAACCCUUGUUCCAUCAGCUUCGGAUCAAUAGCUAGGCUUGGAUUCUCCGAUGUUAGUACCUUCCUCAUCCACUUUAUAAGACUCAUCCCAUCGGUACGAUGGAAAAACUCAUCGGAAGGAAGCUUCCCAAUCACCAGAACCCCAAGAAUCACCCCAAAGCUAUAGAUGUCACACUUGUCCGUAAACUUGAGAGUUUGAUGAUACUCUGGUGCUAUGUAUCCCACGGUACCUGAAAGCUUAGAGGUUGUAAUGUGCGUGACUGCAUCAGGCAUCGCCCUGGCCAACCCGAAAUCCGUGAUUCUAGCCUCCAUAUCGUCGUCAAGAAGAACAUUAGCCGGCUUCAAGUCUCUGUGGAUGAUUCUAGGUUUACUUUCCAUGUGAAGAUACUCAAGCCCCGCAGCUAUACCUAAAGCAAGCUUGUGCCUUGCUGGCCACGUUAGCUCUUUGUUUCCACCUGAAACCUCGGUUAGUAUAUCUUGCAAACUCCCG